rnacentral:rRNA from 1 species
CAGUCGCCGCGGUAAUACGGAGGGGGCUAGCGUUGUUCGGAAUUACUGGGCGUAAAGCGUACGUAGGCGGCUUUGUAAGUUAGAGGUGAAAGCCUGGUGCUCAACACCAGAACUGCCUUUAAGACUGCAUCGCUUGAACGUCGGAGAGGUGAGUGGAAUUCCGAGUGUAGAGGUGAAAUUCGUAGAUAUUCGGAAGAACACCAGUGGCGAAGGCGGCUCACUGGACGACUGUUGACGCUGAGGUACGAAAGCGUGGGGAGCAAACAGGAUUAGAUACCCCGGUAGUCCCUGUCUCUUAUAC